rnacentral:rRNA from 1 species
UCCGUAGGCGGUGUGGCAAGUCGGAAGUGAAAUCUCUGGGCUUAACUCAGAGGCUGCUUCCGAAACUGCCGUGCUAGAGUGCGAGAGAGGCAAGUGGAAUUGCGGGUGUAGCGGUGAAAUGCGUAGAUAUCCGCAGGAACAUCCGAGGCGAAAGCGGCUUGCUGGAUCGCAACUGACGCUGAGGGACGAAAGCUAGGGGAGCAAACAGGAUUAGAUACCCUGGUAGUCCUAGCCCUAAACCAUCAGGACUUGGGUUUGCCCUGUACGGGGCAAGUCCCGUAGCUAACGCGUUAAGUCCUGCGCCUGGGGAGUACGGUCGCAAGGCUAGAA